AUGAGGCUCGUCAAGAUCACCUCCAAGGCGCUCAAGCUCAGCCCUAAGCACCUCUUCGGGUCCCGGAAGGGCCGAUCCGUCGCGUCCCGCCCGAAACGCCUUCCUUCGGCGCCGCCUCCGUCCUCGGCCGGCGGCGGCGGCGGCGGCGGCGGCGGCGGGGGCGGGGUCUGGGCCGGCAGCAACCUCGAGCUCGCCCGCGCGUUCGGGCUCAUCGACCGGGACGGCGACGGAUCCUCUCGCGGAAGGAGCUCGAGGCCCUGCUCAGCCGGCUCGGCAGCCGGGACGAGGUGGCGGUGAUGCUGAGCGAGGUGGGGUGCCACGGCGAGGGGAGGACGCCGCCGUGAGCAUCGAGGAGCUGCUGAGCCGGGUGGGUCCGGCGUGCGGGCCGGCCUGCGACGACGCCGAGCUGCGGGAGACGUUCGAGUUCUUCGACGCGGACCACGACGGGAAAAUCACGGCGGAGGAGCUCCUCGGGGUGUUCGCGGCGUUCGGGGACGAGCGGUGCACGCUCGAGGAGUGCCGCCGCAUGAUCUCGGAGGUGGACAAGAACGGGGACGGGUUCGUGUGCUUCGAGGACUUCACUCGGAUGAUGGAGCUGCCGAGAUGAUGAUGACGAUCGUAGUCAUCACCGUCGCGAUCCAAUGCAUCAUAUUAUAGAGUCGAUAAGGAUCUGAAGUCAGUCAGUCAGUCGGUCGGUAUUUCCUGCUACUGAUGAUCGUACCGUACGCCGUUGUUAUUUUUGCCUUCUUCUUUUACGUGCUUUUUCUUCCCCCUCUUUUUAAAAUGAUGUCGACGGAACUCGGUCGGGUGGCGAGGGUUGAGAUCUUUGGGUAAGGAAGAGAUCAACGGCCAGGAUUGUUUUGUGAUGGGAGGAUCUGUAAUUUUUUUGUGUCUCUCUCACUGCCGUACAUACGCGAGUGAACUUAAAAAAUGGAACUUGGGACUCUUGUUUUCUCUG